CUUUAUUGAGUGUCGUAGCGGGCCGACACGUUUACUUUGAACAAAUUAGAGUGCUAAAAGCAGGCAAUAAUGCCUGAAUAUUGUGUGCAUGGAAUAAUAGAAUAGGACCUCGGUUCUAUUUUGUUGGUUUUCUGAACCCGAGGUAAUGAUAAAGAGGAACGGACGGGGGCAUUCGUAUUGAGACGUUAGAGGUGAAAUUCUUGGAUCGUCUCAAGACGGACAGAAGCGAAAGCAUUUGCCAAGAACGUUUUCAUUAAUCAAGAACGAAAGUUAGAGGUUCGAAGGCGAUCAGAUACCGCCCUAGUUCUAACCAUAAACGAUGCCAGCCAGCGAUCCGCUAUAGUUCCUCCGAUGACUUAGCGGGCAGCUUCCGGGAAACCAAAGCUUUUGGGUUCCGGGGGAAGUAUGGUUGCAAAGCUGAAACUUAAAGGAAUUGACGGAAGGGCACCACCAGGAGUGGAGCCUGCGGCUUAAUUUGACUCAACACGGGAAACCUCACCAGGUCCGGACACUGGAAGGAUUGACAGAUUGAGAGCUCUUUCUUGAUUCAGUGGGAGGUGGUGCAUGGCCGUUCUUAGUUGGUGGAACGAUUUGUCUGGUUAAUUCCGAUAACGAACGAGACUCUAACCUGCUAACUAGCCGUUUCCAACAUCAUAUGCUGUUGGCGGUUUUAAACUCUUCUUAGAGGGACAGGCGGCUUCUAGCCGCACGAGAUUGAGCAAUAACAGGUCUGUGAUGCCCUUAGAUGUCCUGGGCCGCACGCGCGCUACAAUGAAGGUAUCAACGUGUCCUCCCAGGCCGAAUGGUCCGGGUAACCCGCUGAACCACCUUCGUGCUAGGGAUUGGGGCUUGCAAUUGCUCCCCAUGAACGAGGAAUUCCCAGUAAGCGCGAGUCAUAAGCUCGUGUUGAUUACGUCCCUGCCCUUUGUACACACCGCCCGUCGCUACUACCGAUUGAAUGAUUUAGUGAGGUCUUCGGACUGGUACGCGAUAGCGUUAUUUCUAUAAUGCUGCCGAUGUUACUAGAAAGAUGACCAAACUUGAUCAUUUAGAGGAAGUAAAAGUCGUAAC
rnacentral:rRNA from 2 species